rnacentral:tRNA from 1 species
GCUGAGAUGGCGGAAAGGCUACGCGAUGGACUGCAGAUCCAUCUUAUCCCGGUUCGAAUCCGGGUCUCAGCU